rnacentral:tRNA from 1 species
GGGCUCUUGGCGCAACGGUAGCGCGCCUGCAUGGCAUGCAGGAGGUUGCGGGUUCAAAUGGCCUUUAGAGUUUC